AGAUCUCGAUUUGGAGACUUGGCAUUUCUGUAUGGUAUCAGCGCCGCAGCCAUGCCCGGAUGCCAGGCGUGAGGACCCCCUUCGCGUGGAGUCCUAUGAAUCCUGGGUCACCAUUGAUAAUCUAUCGGAAGACGGGAGCAUGGACAGACUAUGGAGCCAGCUGUCCCAGGGAGAGAACUCAACAACAGAUAUCAAGAUCGAAGAUCUGGAAUGAAGAACCCCUGGGACAGCUGGCUCCAUAGUGUGUCCAUCGCUCCACCCAGGAUUCACAGGACUCCUCUGGAAGUCUGUCAAGACACCUUUUCGUGUUGCCGGAGGAGGAGAUCCAUUAAAGUAUUUCCUAUCAGGAAUCACCCUUCCUUUUUUCUUCUGCUUCUUUUAAUUUAAUUCACUGGUGUUUUAGAAAGGACCUGUGAUCCAGUGCAGACAUUUUGUUGUUUUCUCUCCCUCUCUAGUGCUCCGGAAGAAUCGAAAGAAUCCUCCUUCGUGGAUAUCUCUUUGGAGACUUCGCAUUUCUGGAUGGUAUCAGCAUCGCAGCCACACCCGGAUGCAAGGCGUGAGGACCCCCUUCGAGUGGAGUCCUAUGAAUCCUGGGUAAGGAGUGAAAGGGUGGGAUGGAAUGGCCCAUCAGA